GAUGAACGCUAGCUACAGGCUUAACACAUGCAAGUCGCGGGGCAGCAUGGGGGUUGCUUGCAACACCUGAUGGCGACCGGCGCACGGGUGAGUAACGCGUAUCCAACCUGCCCUUCACCACGGGAUAACCCGGCGAAAGUCGGACUAAUACCGUAUGUUGUCCAUUGACGGCAUCCGAUUUGGAGGAAAGGCUUGGAGCGGAAAGGAUGGGGAGGCGUCCGAUUAGCCUGACGGCGGGGUAACGGCCCUGCCUGGCUACGAUCGGUAGGGUUUCUGCGGGGAAGGUCCCCCACACUGGAACAGGGGCACGGACCAGACUACUACGGGAGGCAGCAGUAAGGAAAAUGGGUCAAUGAGAGUAAGCCUGAAACAGACAAGUAGCGUGCAGGAUGACGGCCCUAUGGAUGAUAAACUGCUUUUAUGCGGGGAUAAAGUGGCACACGUGUGGGCUUUUGAAGGUACCGCAUGAAUAAGGACCGGCUAAUUCCGUG
rnacentral:rRNA from 1 species